rnacentral:tRNA from 1 species
UACUAAGGUGGCAGAUCAGUGCAUAAGAUUUAAGUUCUUAUUAGGGAAUGGUAUAUUUAUUCUUCUUAGUAA